AGUUUUUAAUUUGUGCGAGUGAAACAGAGAAAAACACUUUGGAGGGUUUUUACGUUAAUUUAGUGUGAAAACAACAAACAGCAGCACUUCAUGAUGAAAGAGUGUCUGUGACGUUCCCGUUCAACUGUGACAGAAAUUAUGGAAGCUCAUUUCUGCCAGUAAAGGAAGAAAAGUUCAUCUUUUUAUCUCAUAAUUUUGAUUUAGUUAGUGAAGAGGAGAUCAUUAUCUCUGACGCCAGAGGAGAAAGCGGCUGCAGAACCUGCCUGAGAAUCCUGCUGUUUCUAAGUUUCCUUCAGUCUCACAGUGAUCCAGAGACAGCUGUCUGUCCGUCCACGGGUCCACUGCAGACAGGAGCUGCUGACUGCUGGUUCGGCUGCUCUGACGGGACAGUCUGACUGCAUGUAGGCUAAAAAAACGGAGUUCAAUUUUGUCAGCAGAGGGGUGUUGGAAAGUCAUCCAAUAUGAGUGUAACAAUGCGGGAUACUGCGCAGGUUUGACUGCAUUGGCAGAAUGUGGCUUUAAUCUGUUUCUGUGUUGAUGAGCUCGCUCAGUGUCAUUUUAAACCAAUCACUUUUUAAAGUAAAUUCAGCCUCUGUGUCGUAAUAACUCCCCUCCUGUGUGCGUUUCCUCCCGGGGUCGGGCAGGUCCGGGGUGCGGUGCACUGUUGUCACGUCCCCCUCCAAUAUUGCACUCGUCCCGGCCUCCCCGGCCCAGGGGCCACGACCCCCCCACCACCUCCAGACAGCAGGAGAGAAACAUCGCUGGAGCUCAGAGACGAGGUGGGACAGAGAAAACAGACUUGUUACUGUGAUGUUCCUACAGAGACGCAAACUAAGACUUCAUUUCACUCCAUCGCACUCAGAAUCAGCUCAUGCUAGCAGCGCCGCUCUCACUGAGGUCCGGACUGAAACCUCGCAGCUGCUGGACUGCGAUGAGACGCGCUUCAUCGUUCAUGCUGCCCUCAGGAUGAACUGAUCCUCUGACUUUCCAUCUAGCGCCACCAUCAGGUCGACGUGUUAGCAUGCUAACAUGCUAAACUAAGACGGUGAACGUGGUAAACAUCAUAACUAAACAUUAGCAUGUUAGCAUUGUCACUGAUGGCCAUGUAAACUUCCACGAUGGAGGAGUCACUCGAGUGUUUUUAGUGUGAAAAGUCAUGGGCGGGGCUUUAUUUCAACAGAGAUAUGUACAAACACACACAGAAACAUGUAAAAGGAACAUUCCACUGUUUUCCACUUUUCAUUUGAAUCUCCGUAACGUUAGCUUAGCAUUCCCCAGCAGGGCUGCGGGAGACGAACUGUUUGUUCUUCAGUUAAACUCAACAGAACUGAACUUAUCUGAGUCUGAACUGUUCUGACUAAAAGACAAAGUUUCAUUCAUUGCGUCAUUUACAGAGACACUGACGUGAUGAGACGACAUCAGACCGGAUCCUCGAAACGUUCAGGAACAUUUGGGGAUGAACUCUUCAGAUGUGUUGACAGCAGUUUGUCCUUUUAAACCAGAUUAGCACCAACUCUGAGCGCAGAGCUCAGACGACACACACGGAGCCGCAGGGUCGACCUCUACAGCUGCGUUCAGGUGCGUUCAGGUCAUAAAAUCUUCUCCUUGGCGUCCUGGAGCCUUCCUGGAAAACCUUGAAAUGACCCUUGGAGGUCUUUGGGGCCACUGUCAGAAACUCUACAGGCUGCAGUCACUGUGACUCCAGGUGACAUGCUUCACUGAGGGCAGGUCUGUUGCCGGGCAACAGCAGCGCUGCUCAGUGUUCACGUCAGAGGGUCACCUGGUUAAGAACCACCCAGUUGGGGUCGAUCUGGGCGUCGCCCUCUGGGUCCAGGAUGACUGUCUGAUAGGCUCGGAAGUCUGUCAGAG